rnacentral:rRNA from 1 species
UACAGAGGUCUCAAGCGUUGUUCGGAUUCAUUGGGCGUAAAGGGUGUGUAGGUGGCGCGCUAAGUCGGGUGUGAAAUUUCGGAGCUUAACUCCGAAACUGCAUUCGAUACUGGCGUGCUUGAGGACUGGAGAGGAGACUGGAAUUCAUGGUGUAGCAGUGAAAUGCGUAGAGAUCAUGAGGAAGACCAGUGGCGAAGGCGGCUCACUGGCCCGGUACUGACGCUGAGGCGCGAAAGCGUGGGGAGCAAACAGG